AUGACACCGUUGAUCUCUGUGAGGAAACGCUGCAGAUCUCCAUGUUAGUGAAUGAGCUUCCGGCCUCACUGCUGCAUUCUGGGUAUGAAGAACUAGAGGAUAUGAUGUUCUUCAGCCUGUGGAGAGCAAUGAUCAACAGGGCAACCUGCAUAUCAGUGGGCUCAUAAGCUGGUGCAGCUUGUUGUUAGGCCACCGCCGGUCCAUUAGGACUUUGGGGUGGUCACACCGGCUCAGUGGUGCACACAGAAGAGAGUCUGGCGCAGGCUGGCAUAUGGAUGGAGCUUUGGAUGCAAGCAGUGGGGCAAAGCUAUGCAUGUCAAUAGGACAGAGGCGUCAUGCCUCCUGGGAAGGUCUUAUCUCUUCUGCUCUGUGCACUAAAGACACGGAACACAGAUUAUGGAUCGGCGCAAAGCAAAGCAUGACUGUCUGGCGCAGCUCGCUUUUGCUAUUGUUUUGUGAAGCAUGAAUGGGAAUUCUGUUUCGGUAGUGACGAAUGCUUGUCUUCUCAAUACUCAGUGAUCAUCACUGAUUCAUCUUGAACCAGUAGAAAACGCUCUAUUGCUCUUAAAGGGACAGUUCACCCAAAAAAAAAAUUAAAAUUCUGUCAUCAUUUACUCACCCUCAUGUUAUUCCAAACCUGUCGUUCAACUGUUUUUGUCAAGUCAAUAUUUAUUUGUAUAGCGCUAUAUACAAAACAGAUUGUUUCAAAGCCGGUAAACAGGAAAAUAACGAUCAGUGAUUGUUCACCAAAUAUAAGACUAUUUCAAUUCUGCUUUAAAGGUUUAGUGUGUAAAUUUUAGCAGCAUCUAGUGGUGAGGUUGCGAAUUGCAAGCAACAGCUCAGUCCACCGCUCACCCCUUUCUUUCGAAGAGAAGCUACGGUGGCCGACACAGGACAAAGAUGUUGUCAUCUGAGACAGCAGAGAGUAGUCAGUCAAGCAAGCACACUAUGUAGAGCAGUUUGUCCGUUUAGGGCUACUGUAGAAACAUGGCGGGACAAAAUGGCGACUUCCAUGUAAGGGAACCCGUGGUGUAUGUAGAUAGAAAUGGCUCAUUCUAAGGUAAUAAAAACAUAACGGUUAAUUAUGUAAGGUCUUUAUACAUCACUGAAAACAUAGUUAUGUAUAUGAUAUUGCAUUUCUGUCAAUAGAUCCUCCUAAAUAUUUCACACUGGACCUUUAAAGAAGCUCAAAAUAGACAAUAGUGUCAUUAUUCAGCUCAAGUCAGUUCAGUGUUGAUUCAGUUCAGUUCAAUAACUGUAAAAUUAAUCAAUUAGAAAUGAGUUCAAUUCAGCUAUUAGCAGCUUUACAGAAGACAACAGUGACAAUAGUUAUUCGUUUUGAGUCAAUGUUGACUCAGUUUAAUUCAAUAACAGUGUUGAUGUUGCGAAAUUCAUCAAUUAAGAAACAAAGUCGAAUCGGCUAUAAAGCAGCUCUGCAGAAAACAGUGGUGUCAUCAUCCAGCUCACUUCAGUUCAAGUUUUUUCUCAUCCAAUCAUUUUUGUCCAUGCAAAAAAGGUCAGUGGGGUUGAAUCCUUUGAACCUCUUUGACUUUCACAGUGUACUCUAAAAAAAAAAAAAAAAAAAAAAAAUUGAAAUGAAAUUUAUUUUAAAAAAAUGGCUGCAUUUUAAGUUUAACGGAUUGAACUUAAAUUUACAUGGAUUUGAAUUUAAAUUAACUGAUAUAAUGUUAACAAUCUCUUUUGUACCUUUAUAAUACACUGACAACCACCAUAAACACAGGUGGUAAUGAGAAAGCCACAUGUAAUCAAAGCUCAUCACAAGUAGCUUAACAUAAAACCCUAAUGUACACAACUGACAAGAAAAAAACUAAGAAAAACAGUUAUUUCAAUGAAAAAUCAAGCAUCACAGAGAAUUCUGGGAAUGUCAGUUUACAAUUUUUCACUGUAGAUAUUUAAGAAUAUAUAAUGUUUAAGAAUAAUAUAUAUAUGUAUAAGAAGACCUGUUUUAAAUGUCCCAUUUGAUUUAUGUUAAAGUUUUUCAUAUAGUAUAUAGUAAGGGAAUUUACAAGUUUUUACUGUAGCAUUUUUACAGUCUUUUCCAUUUUUUAAAAACAUCUUUUACAUUCAACAGAAGAAAGAAGGUUUUGAACGACAUGAGGGUGAGUAAAUGAUGACAGAAUGUUAAUUUUUGGCUUUUUAACAUUCAUCUGAGUAUUCGCUUGCCUCAUAAAAUGUGCAAGGACGGGAGUUAGAGGGCAAUAUCUUCCUCUAGACAUAUAUUGGCGGCGUUCCACUACAGCUCAGAUGCCCACUGGGGAUCAUGGGUACCCUUCCUGAGUCCUGCUGUGUCUAUCCUGUCCUUUGGGUCUUUAUAAUUGCUCCAGCUAAUGCCGGCACUGAGGCACAUGAGUGAAUGCUGUUGGAUUUUGAUAAGAACAGUGCCUUGGCUGAUUUUUCCUCUAAUCCAUAAAACUGUAAAAAUCGGAGAAGGUUUGUUAUUCCCCUGAUGCAAGUGAUUCAGCCCAGCUUUGGUGCAUCUGUUCCCAUUGCACGCAAGUAUAGGUUGAAUGUUAACGCACGGCAUUCGACGGCAAGGCCGCCUGAAGCUUUUUUUGAUUAUAGACUGUGUGCUAACUUCAGGAGGAAAUGGUCGCUUUG